rnacentral:rRNA from 3 species
AACGAACGCUGGCGGCAGGCUUAACACAUGCAAGUCGAGCGCCCCGCAAGGGGAGCGGCAGACGGGUGAGUAACGCGUGGGAAUCUACCCAUCUCUACGGAAUAACGCAUGGAAACGUGUGCUAAUACCGUAUACGUCCUUCGGGAGAAAGAUUUAUCGGAGAUGGAUGAGCCCGCGUUGGAUUAGCUAGUUGGUGGGGUAAAGGCCUACCAAGGCGACGAUCCAUAGCUGGUCUGAGAGGAUGAUCAGCCACACUGGGACUGAGACACGGCCCAGACUCCUACGGGAGGCAGCAGUGGGGAAUAUUGGACAAUGGGCGCAAGCCUGAUCCAGCCAUGCCGCGUGAGUGAUGAAGGCCCUAGGGUUGUAAAGCUCUUUCACCGGUGAAGAUAAUGACGGUAACCGGAGAAGAAGCCCCGGCUAACUUCGUGCCAGCAGCCGCGGUAA